UACGGGGGGGGCAAGCGUUGUUCGGAAUUACUGGGCGUAAAGGGCUCGUAGGUGGCCAACUAAGUCAGACGUGAAAUCCCUCGGCUUAACCGGGGAACUGCGUCUGAUACUGGAUGGCUUGAGUUUGGGAGAGGGACGCGGAAUUCCAGGUGUAGCGGUGAAAUGCGUAGAUAUCUGGAGGAACACCGGUGGCGAAGGCGGCGCCCUGGACCAGCACUGACGCUGAUAAGCGAAAGCCAGGGGAGCGAACAGG
rnacentral:rRNA from 1 species